CUCCCACUAUUACUCCUGAUUCCAAACAACUGUUAGGGGGCACAUAGUAUAAAAAAGCUUUUUCCAGUGCCCAACUCCCCAGUCAGUCUCGUUGGCUCCUGAGAGCUAGCAGCAGCUGAGACUGUGGAGAGUUCGGCGUGGCCCCUUUUACAGCCUUGCAACUUCUUCCUCUCCUUCUUUCNUCUGGCCCCUGUC
rnacentral:lncRNA from 1 species